ACCCUAUUCUAGCUUUUAAGGAACUUCCAGAACAGAUGCACAUACAGCACUAGAAGAGAACAUUUUCAGGACUGAAUAAGUACUGCUGGCAUUGAGCAUUCAGAGGAGGAAGCAGUCACUAUAGGCUGAGGUUUUGAGAGAGGCCUCACAGUGAAGAGUGACAGCUGAUUCAUGAAAGAAGGUAGACCUAGGAUGUGUCAUGGCCAGGAAAAAAGAACACAGGACUGGGUCUAGGAAUAAAACUGGUUUUGCCAUUCACUAGCUUGGUUUCUUUGAAAAUGAAGAUACAGAAAAAUAUAAAUCUGUCAACAUCUACUCUAAACAAAACAAAUUUGGUAUAAG
rnacentral:lncRNA from 1 species